UACGGAGGGUGCAAGCGUUAUCCGGAUUCACUGGGUUUAAAGGGUGCGUAGGGGGGCAAGUAAGUCAGUGGUGAAAUCUCCGGGCUUAACCCGGAAACUGCCAUUGAUACUAUUUGUCUUGAAUACUGUGGAGGUCAGCGGAAUAUGUCAUGUAGCGGUGAAAUGCUUAGAUAUGACAUAGAACACCAAUUGCGAAGGCAGCUGGCUACACAAAUAUUGACACUGAGGCACGAAAGCGUGGGGAUCAAACAGG
rnacentral:rRNA from 1 species